AGUCGCUGGGUGCCGGCGAGCCGAGCUAGCGGAUUGCAGCGGAAAAGCAAAGAUGUCAUACCGGAUCCUUUGCCUUCAGGACACAUUAAGGCAUGAGCACACCUCCACAAAGAGGCUCUCCACCAUAAAAGAAGUCUUCCCCUUGUCCAUCAUCCCGCUACAAUGCAUUUCCAUGGUUCAGGAUAUCUACAUCAACUCCUUUUGUGUGCUUUUUAAGUACCUGCCAGUAUGCGAUGGGGAAGAGAGCUGUGCUGCCCAUCUGCAAUCCAGAUACUUCUGGAGCAAAGACUCAGAUUGGAUAAAGACUCACUUUGUUUGGCUUCAGCUGAAAUGCUUUUUAGCAGCUUAAAAUAGUCUCCUGAAUCUUCCAAACUCCCAGGUGGCUAGGCACUAUAGUAUUUACCACAGGCUUGCUCUGGGAGGCAACUAACCACAGACGGUUCAUUUUUCCUUUCCUCUGCACCUUCACAUGACCUUCUUUUGCAUUCUCCUCACUCUAAAGGGCCUGUGGGCUGAGAGGUGACAACAUCCUCAACCAUGCUGCAUGUGGCUGCUGCUGGGGGCGGUCUUUGCAGCCGGGGAAACCCAUCCCUCCUCAACCUCAAACAGAGUAUUUCUGGUCCAAUGGAGCAGAUACAAAAUCUGGUUUGCCAUCAGCAACAUGGUUCUGGGCUGUUGGGUCAACGUGGAAAUGGGUUUCCAGAGGAUUUGGGAUUUCAAGGGCCUCCUUAACUGCCUCCAGGAUCAAUGAAGUCAACCCUCAUUGCUGGAGAAGCGCCAAAGCAAGGCAUUGAAGUGACAGACUGUGUCAGCGGCGAAGCCUAAUGUCAGAGGCGGCCUUCAGGAAUGCCAAGUCCGCUGAGCUCCAGAGGUCCUCGGGUAACGUCAAGAUAGGAGACAGGGCACCUGUGAGCAGGAAGUCUCACAUUCUAAAAAUCUAGCUCAUCAGAGUUCAUGUCCUUUAGCCAUCUCGUUCACCCGUCUUUCAAAACAGUGUUCUCUAAGGUUUAUGGAAACAUAUACCUACGUUGAAAUUUUUUAAAUGGCUUCUCUUGAGAAGUCCGCAAUGCCCACCUUUAAACAAUAGAAAGGCACACCUUAGUUUUCACAAAAUGAGAAAGUGGGAACCAAUUCUGAAGGAAAUAGUCAGCAGAGGCAUCCAUCCCCCCGGUGGAUGAUGCAGAGCCAGGCCUCAUUCCUGCCCCCUUCCACCCCCCAGCUUCUGCUAGUGGUGUGGCCUCAGACAGGAGCGGGCCACGGCACAGCUGAAUGGAAGAAAACGGUUCCUAAUAAGAGCAACCAGCUAAUGGAGGCUGCUUUCCCAUCGGUUUGGAGGAGGAGAGAAUCCACCAGCCCGGCCAACACAACCAAAUGCUGUGAGCGGCCUCCAUACUCACCCUAUCCCAUGGCAAGCCCAAAGCAGACAAUCCGACUCUCCAGAAUGAUUUGGAAGCCAUUUCUCCAGGAAUAAAAAAAUAAAUAAAUAUCUCCAUUCCACCUUCCAACAGCCUGAGAAUCAUGUCAGCAAGAAAGAACAGAGUACGGGCUUGACUCUGACAACAUGUUCGGUGAUAGUUUAACGCGUGUGGCGUCUUUCCUAGUAUACUUACUCCGUAAUCUGUCCAUCACUCCCUGGCUGUCACUCACCAGGGAACAACAGUGGGUUUCUACAAAUAGUACAUCAAUCACUAUCGUGGGAGAUUGAAAGCCCGUCCUACACGGGCACUCACACCACCCGUCACCCCUCUCUGUUCUUCUGAGCAGCACUGACAUGGUUUGCAUCCUCCUCCUGGACGGUGGGGGGUGGGGGGUCAGGAAAUCCGAACCUUUGGGCCCCCUCCUACCUUCCCAGGAAGGCUUUACUGAGUUUUCUUUCUCCUUCCAUGCUCCUGACAAGGAAACUGGGGACAUCCAGAAAAGCCUUCAGCAGCCCCGACUGCAAAAACACUGUCAGUGACGUGAUGUGAUUGAUGUUUUUAAUAUGUCAGGAAUAGGUAUGCACGCAAGCUAUUUUUAUUAUUCCUGUGGUAUUUUGAAUGUGGUUAUUCUUCUUAACGUGUAAUUCCUGCAUGUCCAGUAUUGAGAUGAAAUUGCUAAAACUGCCUUUGCCUUCAAAUAAGCUCUGUCUUUGUGAAUGUGUACGUUCCUCUGUAUGUCAGAUAAAUUGGCCUCUAUCUUUGCUGCUGUAAUUGCCUGUCUAUACCAGAAAGCAAGAAGC
rnacentral:lncRNA from 1 species